GAAAUGCGAUAAGUAAUGUAAAUUGCAGAAUUCAGUGAAUCAUCGAAUCUUUGAACGCACAUUGCGCCCGCCAGUAUUCUGGCGGGCAUGCCUGUCCGAGCGUCAUUUCAACCAUCAAGCCCCCGGGCUUGUGUUGGGGACCUGCGGCUGCCCGCAGGCCCUGAAAACCAGUGGCGGGCUCGCUGUCACACCGAGCGUAGUAGCAAUCACCUCGCUCAGGGCGUGCUGCGGGUUCCGGCCGUUAAACAGCCUUACAAAACCCAAGGUUGACCUCGGAUCAGGUAGGAAGACCCGCUGAACUUAAGC
rnacentral:misc_RNA from 1 species